CUUCAUGGUUAACCUAAUCCUCCUCUAAGGAGGAUUAGGAAGGUCACUCUUGGUUAGGUCCUAAUCUAAUUAGGUUUGGACCAAGGGUGAACCAAUUUGGGUUUUAAUCUAGGUAAGUCCUAAUCCAAUUAGAACUUGAUGAGCCAUGACUCAAUUGAACCCUUCAAUCCUAAUCUAAUUAGGAGUCAUCUUGAUUCAUUAGAUUAAUAAUUA
rnacentral:lncRNA from 1 species